UGGGGAAUUUUGGACAAUGGGCGAAAGCCUGAUCCAGCAAUGCCGCGUGUGUGAAGAAGGCCUUCGGGUUGUAAAGCACUUUUGUCCGGAAAGAAAUCCUUGGCUCUAAUACAGUCGGGGGAUGACGGUACCGGAAGAAUAAGCACCGGCUAACUACGUGCCAGCAGCCGCGGUAAUACGUAGGGUGCAAGCGUUAAUCGGAAUUACUGGGCGUAAAGCGUGCGCAGGCGGUUUGCUAAGACCGAUGUGAAAUCCCCGGGCUCAACCUGGGAACUGCAUUGGUGACUGGCAGGCUAGAGUAUGGCAGAGGGGGGUAGAAUUCCACGUGUAGCAGUGAAAUGCGUAGAGAUGUGGAGGAAUACCGAUGGCGAAGGCAGCCCCCUGGGCCAAUACUGACGCUCAUGCACGAAAGCGUGGGGAGCAAACAGGAUUAGAUACCCUGGUAGUCCACGCCCUAAACGAUGUCAACUAGUUGUUGGGGAUUCAUUUCCUUAGUAACGUAGCUAGCGCGUGAAGUUGACCGCCUGGGGAGUACGGUCGCAAGAUUAAAACUUAAAUGAA
rnacentral:rRNA from 1 species